CCUACGGGAGGCAGCAGUGAGGAAUAUUGGUCAAUGGACGAGAGUCUGAACCAGCCAAGCCGCGUGAAGGAUGACUGCCCUAUGGGUUGUAAACUUCUUUUAUAUGGGAAUAAACUGUUCCACGUGUGGUCUGUUGUAUGUACCAUAUGAAUAAGGAUCGGCUAACUCCGUGCCAGCAGCCGCGGUAAUACGGAGGAUCCGAGCGUUAUCCGGAUUUAUUGGGUUUAAAGGGAGCGUAGGUGGAUUGAUAAGUCAGAUGUGAAAGUUUGCGGCUCAACCGUAAAAUUGCAGUUGAAACUGGCAGUCUAGAGUGCAGUAGCGGUGGGCGGAAUGCGUGGUGUAGCGGUGAAAUGCUUAGAUAUCACGAAGAACUCCGAUUGCGAAGGCAGCUCACUGGACUGCAACUGACAUUGAGGCUCGAAAGUGUGGGUAGCAAACAGGAUUAGAUACCCUUGUAGUC
rnacentral:rRNA from 1 species